rnacentral:rRNA from 2 species
GAAACUGCGAAUGGCUCAUUAUAUAAGUUAUCGUUUAUUUGAUAGUGCCUUACUACAUGGAUACCUGUGGUAAUUCUAGAGCUAAUACAUGCUAAAAAUCCCGACUUCGGAAGGGAUGUAUUUAUUAGAUUAAAAACCAAUGCCCUCUGGGCUCUCUGGUGAUUCAUGAUAACUCCUCGAAUCGCACGGCCUUGCGCCGGCGAUGGUUCAUUCAAAUUUCUUCCCUAUCAACUUUCGAUGUUUGGGUAGUGGCCAAACAUGGUGGCAACGGGUAACGGAGGGUUAGGGCUCGACCCCGGAGAAGGAGCCUGAGAAACGGCUACUACAUCCAAGGAAGGCAGCAGGCGCGCAAAUUACCCAAUCCCGAUUCGGGGAGGUAGUGACAAUAAAUACUGAUACAGGGCUCUUUUGGGUCUUGUAAUUGGAAUGAGUACAAUUUAAAUCUCUUAACGAGGAACAAUUGGAGGGCAAGUCUGGUGCCAGCAGCCGCGGUAAUUCCAGCUCCAAUAGCGUAUAUUAAAGUUGUUGUGGUUAAAAAGCUCGUAGUUGAACCUUGGGCCUGGCUGGCCGGUCCGCCUCACCGCGUGCACUGGUCCGGCCGGGUCUUCCCUCUGUGGAACCACAUGCCCUUCACUGGGCGUGGCGGGAAAACAGAACUUUUACUUUGAAAAAAUUAGAGUGCUCCAGGCAGGCCUUUGCUCGAAUACAUUAGCAUGGAAUAAUGAAAUAGGACGUGCGGUUCUAUUUUGUUGGUUUCUAGGACCGCCGUAAUGAUUAAUAGGGACAGUCGGGGGCAUCAGUAUUCAAUAGUCAGAGGUGAAAUUCUUGGAUUUAUUGAAGACUAACUACUGCGAAAGCAUUUGUCAAGGAUGUUUUCAUUAAUCAGGAACGAAAGUUAGGGGAUCGAAGACGAUCAGAUACCGUCGUACUCUUAACCAUAAACUAUGCCGACUAGGGAUCGGACGACGUUAAUUUUUGACUCGUUCGGC